GAUUUUAUACAUAUCUAAAGAACAAUGCGCAAUUGUAGACUCAUUAGUUGCUAUAAGUUUCAUGGAAAUCUUUUAUAUGUUGGUUAUUUUAUUUCAAUAUAGAUUUUCAGACUAUUUAUAAUUUGAGUAAUAUAUAGGUCUUUUAAUCUAAAAAUAUUAGAGCUUGUUUGCUACCAAAUCAUUGAUAAUUCCAAGAAUACAUAUUAAAAAAGUAAUGAUCUUUUUAAGUUUGAAGAGACUCAUUUUUUGUUCUAACCUUGAGCUUUCACCAAAUUGAUCCGAUCGUAUAAGUGUCCACAAUAUCUGCAUAACCAAUAUGUCCACC
rnacentral:lncRNA from 1 species